GCGCAGCCCGGGCUGCCGGCAGGCCGUGACGCGGUGGCAGCGAGGGGCGGUAGGGCUGUCUGUCCUCUGGUUGCGUGGCUGGGACUCCUGGGACCCCAAGCCGCUCUGGCCCUGGACUGCGAGCGUGGGCAGAAAUGUGCGGUGAGGACCUGGCCUCCCCGUCCCGGGGGGAGGCCGUGCGGGGGGGCGUCCCCAGCAGAUCCCGCGAAGGCGUAACUGAGCCACAAACUUUUGCCGACUCCCGCGGCCGCGGCUGCAGCCGCCCGUAGCCCGGCUCCAGCCGCGGUGCUCAUUUAAGGUGGCGCGGGCACUAGCGGAGCAGGCCAGGUUCUAGCCGCGCUUUUGUCCCUAAGAUCCCUCUGGGACGCGGGGCCUCCUUAAAGAAAGCACGUGGGCAGGGGCCGCGGCCCCCGCGAGACGCCUAGGGAGCGGGCUGACAUUCGUGGUCUUGACCUGCGGCGGGAAAAUGCAGGCGCGUCCACGCCGCUCUUGAGUCCAGUGAAGUCCCCCUCAGCUAGCGGCACCUCUUGUCCCUCUCGCACACCUCGUUCUCCUCCCUAAGCCUCCGGACCCUGAAGACUCCCCACCAACUCGCCGCCUAAGCCGCCGGGUCCCCCUUAAGAAGCGUUGACUCUACGGCGGCGCCAGAAGGCCAAACUAAAUUCAGUUUCGGGAAACGCACUCGGGGGGCAAUUAUGGAAAUCCUGGUCUGGUGCACCCCAGGUGGGAAGCCGCGUCAGCCUAGUAGUGUACCCCGGCUAGGCCGCCAUCCACGCGCCGCACCUAACCGAUGGGCGGCGUGCGCGAGGCCAUCCCCUCAAAGCAGGGGACUGGGAGGCGACGGAGGCUCUGGAAGAGAAAGGGUCCCAGAAGCGAAACCUGUCCCCGGCCUAAAUCUCAGAACCCGGAUCCCGGAGAACCCCGCACCCAGGCGCCGCCCACCAAGUUCCAAAGGAGCCCUAGGCGACCCGGGACGCGGUCGAAGCGGAGCCGGGAAAGGAAGCGAGAAGGAUAGAAAACCUUCGGGGAGCCACCCUGGGAGUUUUAGAAUCCUCCUACGGAUCAAUGUCCAGGAACUUAGAAGAAUUGGUGAUAUUAGGACUUCAGUACUGCUGGAAAAAAAUGCAAAUGGUUUAGCCAGGAUCUUUCCUGUCUGAUUCGUCACUAUUAUUAUAUCUGAUGAUGUGAAUGGUUGGAGCGAUUCAAUCUUAAGUCAUUAAUGAGCUAUUUUAUAAACACCACUGUCUGAAGAUCUUCAUUUACAUUUUGCGAAGGAUCACUUCGCUAACCUCACAGGCUUAUGUCAACAGCAUGAUUACGGGACUUCAGUUACACUGUUAUAAACAACACAGCCGUAUUGUUAAUCGGUUAAUAUUUUAUAAAGUGUAAAUAUUUUAUUAUGUUUUGAAGGGAACUAUUGAUUCUAAAUUAUUAAACCCCUCAGAAGAGCGAUUUAAAUAAAGUUUAGAAUUAAGUGCAAUUAAAUGUACAUUAUGGCUAGUUUUCAGAUUUUGCACACUUUUAAAUUCGUUGAUUUUCUCUUUACUGGAGUUUACUCUUGUUCAUAUUUGAUAGUGAACAAAUAUAUCAUUUUGGGCAAAAGAAUGCAGAAAUUUUAAAUUGCAUUUAACAUAGAAGAAAAUGUCAAAUCUGUGAGUUAUUACCGGAAAUGUAUUUUGAAUGCUUGUGGAUUUGUGUUUAGAGAUUUUACACAUUUAUUUUGAUUUAAAAAAAGGGAAUUCUAGGAAGUUUUGUGAUAUAUACCCGUUAUGUUUUUUUCCUUACGUUUUUGUCCCUAAUAAAGGCCUUUUCUGUUUCAAAUUACAUAA